GAUUUCUGACUUGGCGCACCUGGCCCGCCACGGUUACGUGUGUGAGUGCCGGGAUGCGCCUGUCACUUUUCUAGUAAACUAUUGUGCUCUUCAUUGAGUGUGAUAGGUAGCUAGAUAAUUUACUUUGAAAAAAUUAGAGUGUUUAAAGCAGGCAGUGUUUGCUAUGAAUACAUUAGCAUGGAAUAAUCAUCUAGGACUGUAUCGGUCCUAUUUUGUUGGUUUCGCGGGCUGAAGUCAUGAUUGAUAGGGAUAGUUGGGGGUGCUAGUAUUCAGUGGCCAGAGGUGAAAUUCUCGGAUUCACUGAAGACUUACUUAUGCGAAAGCAUU
rnacentral:rRNA from 1 species